UACGAAGGGGGCUAGCGUUACUCGGAUUGACUGGGCGUAAAGGGCGCGUAGGCGGCUUGUACAGUCAGACGUGAAAUUCCUGGGCUCAACCUGGGGGCUGCGUUUGAUACGUGCGGGCUUGAGUUCGGAAGAGGGUAGUGGAAUUCCCGGUGUAGUGGUGAAAUGCGUAGAUAUCGGGAGGAACACCAGUGGCGAAGGCGACUACCUGGCCUGUUCUUGACGCUGAGGCGCGAAAGCUAGGGGAGCAAACGGG
rnacentral:rRNA from 1 species